UUCCUUUGUAGUACCGCCUCCUAACUAAUGAUGCCUUCUGAUAGGUAUGUUUCCUUUGUAGUACCGCCUCCUAACUAAUGAUGCCUUCUGAUAGGUAUGUUUCCUUUGUAGUACCGCCUCCUAACUAAUGAUGCCUUCUGAUAGGUAUGUUUCCUUUGUAGUACCGCCUCCUAACUAAUGAUGCCUUCUGAUAGGUCUGCUUCCUUUGUAGUACCGCCUCCUAACUAAUGAUGCCUUCUGAUAGGUCUGUUUCCUUUGUAGUACCGCCUCCUAACUAAUGAUGCCUUCUGAUAGGUCUGUUUCCUUUGUAGUACCGCCUCCUAACUAAUGAUGCCUUCUGAUAGAUCUGCUUCCUUUGUAGUACCGCCUCCUAACUAAUGAUGCCUUCUGAUAGGUAUGUUUCCUUUGUAGUACCGCCUCCUAACUAAUGAUGCCUUCUGAUAGGUCUGCUUCCAAGGUUGGAAUUGUUGCAUUAAGACAUUUUUCUUAGUGAGAAAACACACUUAAGGCUGUCCUGUUAAAGAAGCAUCAGUGAGAUGGGUCUUGUCUGUUAAUGCCAUGAGGUAUAAUGGACAC